UACGUAGGGAGCAAGCGUUGUCCGGAUUUACUGGGUGUAAAGGGUGCGUAGGCGGAUUGGCAAGUCAGAAGUGAAAUUCAUGGGCUUAACCCAUGAACUGCUUUUGAAACUGUUAGUCUUGAGUGAAGUAGAGGUAGGCGGAAUUCCCGGUGUAGCGGUGAAAUGCGUAGAGAUCGGGAGGAACACCAGUGGCGAAGGCGGCCUACUGGGCUUUAACUGACGCUGAGGCACGAAAGUGUGGGUAGCAAACAGG
rnacentral:rRNA from 1 species